rnacentral:rRNA from 1 species
AGUGAACGCUGGCGGUAGGCCUAACACAUGCAAGUCGAACGGAAGCACAGUAAGAGCUUGCUCUUACGGGUGGCGAGUGGCGGACGGGUGAGGAAUACAUCGGAAUCUACUUUUUCGUGGGGGAUAACGUAGGGAAACUUACGCUAAUACCGCAUACGACCUACGGGUGAAAGCAGGGGAUCUUCGGACCUUGCGCGAUUGAAUGAGCCGAUGUCGGAUUAGCUAGUUGGCGGGGUAAAGGCCCACCAAGGCGACGAUCCGUAGCUGGUCUGAGAGGAUGAUCAGCCACACGGGAAGUGAGACACGGUCCAGACUCCUACGGGAGGCAGCAGUGGGGAAUAUUGGACAAUGGGCGCAAGCCUGAUCCAGCCAUACCGCGUGGGUGAAGAAGGCCUUCGGGUUGUAAAGCCCUUUUGUUGGGAAAGAAAAGCAGCAGGUUAAUACCCCGCUGUUCUGACGGUACCCAAAGAAUAAGCACCGGCUAACUUCGUG